UGGGGAAUAUUGCACAAUGGGCGAAAGCCUGAUGCAGCAACGCCGCGUGAGCGAUGAAGGCCUUUGGGUCGUAAAGCUCUGUCCUAGGGGAAGAAUAAAUGACGGUACCCUUGGAGGAAGCCCCGGCUAACUACGUGCCAGCAGCCGCGGUAAUACGUAGGGGGCAAGCGUUAUACGGAAUUAUUGGGCGUAAAGAGUGGGUAGGUGGUUUUGUAAGCGCGGGGUGAAAGGCAAGAGCUCAACUAUUGUAAGCCCUGCGAACUGUGAGACUUGAGUGCAGGGGAGGAAAGCGGAAUUCCGAGUGUAGCGGUGAAAUGCAUAGAUAGUAGGAGGAAC
rnacentral:rRNA from 1 species